UGCGACCCCAGGUCAGGCGGGGCUACCCGCUGAGUUUAAGCAU
rnacentral:rRNA from 1 species